GACGAACGCUGGCGGCGUGCUUAACACAUGCAAGUCGAACGAAAAGAGGGAAAGAGCUUGCUCUUUCCGGAAUUGAGUGGCAAACGGGUGAGUAACACGUAAACAACCUGCCUUCAGGAUGGGGACAACAGACGGAAACGACUGCUAAUACCGAAUAAGUUCCAAGAGCCGCAUGGCCCAUGGAAGAAAAGGUGGCCUCUACCUGUAAGCUAUCGCCUGACGAGGGGUUUGCGUCUGAUUAGCUGGUUGGAGGGGUAACGGCCCACCAAGGCGACGAUCAGUAGCCGGUCGGAGAGGAUGAACGGCCACACUGGAACUGAGACACGGUCCAGACUCCUACGGGAGGCAGCAGUGGGGAAUCUUCCGCAAUGGGCGAAAGCCUGACGGAGCAACGCCGCGUGAGUGAUGACGGCCUUCGGGUUGUAAAACUCUGUGAUCCGGGACGAAAAGGCAGAGUGCGAAGAACAAACUGCAUUGACGGUACCGGAAAAGCAAGCCACGGCUAACUACGUG
rnacentral:rRNA from 1 species